AGAGUUUGAUCCUGGCUCAGAUUGAACGCUGGCGGCAUGCCUUACACAUGCAAGUCGAACGGCAGCACGGGUGCUUGCACCUGGUGGCGAGUGGCGAACGGGUGAGUAAUAUAUCGGAACGUACCUNUAUCGUGGGGGAUAACGCAGCGAAAGCUGCGCUAAUACCGCAUACGCCCUGAGGGGGAAAGCGGGGGACCGUAAGGCCUCGCGCGAUUAGAGCGGCCGAUAUCUGAUUAGCUUGUUGGUGGGGUAAAAGCCCACCAAGGCGACGAUCAGUAGCUGGUCUGAGAGGACGAUCAGCCACACUGGGACUGAGACACGGCCCAGACUCCUACGGGAGGCAGCAGUGGGGAAUUUUGGACAAUGGGGGCAACCCUGAUCCAGCAAUGCCGCGUGAGUGAAGAAGGCCUUCGGGUUGUAAAGCUCUUUUGUCAGGGAAGAAACAGCAGCUCUAACACAGUCUGCGAAUGACGGUACCUGAAGAAUAAGCACCGGCUAACUACGUGCCAGCAGCCGCGGUAAUACGUANGGUGCAAGCGUUAAUCGGAAUUACUGGGCGUAAAGCGUGCGCAGGCGGUUAUACAAGACAGGCGUGAAAUCCC
rnacentral:rRNA from 1 species